rnacentral:tRNA from 1 species
AGGAUUUUAGUUAAAGUAUAAUAAUUAUAUUGCAUAUAAUAGUAAAAGUUUAAAAACUUUAAAUCUUA